rnacentral:lncRNA from 1 species
GCGCCGCCCCCUCCGGCCGCCCGGGCCGGCCUUCCCCGCUGACUGACAGCGGGACCUCCUCCCGCGGCCAGCCGGGCCUGGGAAGCGGCGCGGAGGCGGCUCCGGCCCUGCCCAGCGCGCGGCCCCCGGAGCUCAGGCCGGGGAGCGGGGGAGGGGGCGGCGUGCACGGGUUCCAAGCCCGAGGCGAGGCGGGAUAACGGGACCCGGAGGCCGAAAGCGGAGCUGGCCGGCAGGGUGCGGGGAGUUGGAGGGGCGAGGCCGGCGGGUAACGGGCUCCUAGGGACCAGCCGCCAAGGCCUGGGUGCAGAGGUCACACGGGGUGCACAGCUGCCUCCUGGUGUGUGUGUGGGGGUGUGUGUGUGGGGGGAGGCUCGCGGCUUUGGGGCUGGGCGCUGGGGAGGGCGUAGGGGUUCCGCCUUCUUCGGGUGAGGCUGCUCGGGGACAGCCCGGGUUCUGGGUGUGGUGAAGGGCGGCGGUUUGGGGAGGUGGCCCGGCACUUGCGAGAGCGCGAGGGGUGGGGACUGUGGUCUCCGAGUUAAUCAUGAGGUUUCCGAGAGGUUCGGUUCAACCUGCCUUCUCCCAGGACUUUUGCCUUGUCCCCGAAUCGCCACAUUUAGACAGACGAGCUCCACCCCCAUCCCGGAGAUCCCCGAUCUCUGACCCGCCAGUAGGGGAUUUGGAACCGUAUGCGGCGAGUGCAUUGGUGUCCACGCAGAAUCUACUCAAGGAGUGUGAGAACCAGCUAUUAUCCCAAGAUAGGUCUGCCUGCCUUCCCCAAGUUUCACAAUCUGGCUACACAACCAGACAUGGCCAUCUUUGAGAAAGUCGUAGUCGGGGGCAGAUUCCUUGAAAAGCGUUCUUUGGAUCCUCUGAGUGUUCAUGUCUUGGAGAAGCCUCCCCGGGAGGGAUUGACAUUGUGGGUGUACAGCUCAGAGUUGGUGAAUAUAACGUGAACACUGUUAACUUCAUUACACAUCAUUCCAGGUCCCUGACACCUCUGGUAGAGUGUUGCUUUUCCUGCUGAAACACCUGGGGGAUCAACUGACCUGGUGAUCUGGGCUUCCAUGAGCAUCCAUUAGCUUUCCAUACAACCUGGCCCCCCACCUUUCCUUCCCUUCGAAGAAUGCCACAUUCUCCAACCUUGAAGCCGUGCUGCCUCUUGGCCACCCUCUGUCUUUUCCCAUGAUCCUCUAGUUCCUCUACUGUUCCAAGUUUGCCUUCCUGGAGUGCCUUCUCCCAGCCCUUCCCUUCAGUUUCCUCAGCUGCUACUUCAUGCUUUUCCAGGAAGUAAUGACACUUCUAUAGCCAGGAUUCGUGGGAUUCUGGGAUCUGGAGGGUGUAUUUGUGGAACCCUGAGGCUUUAUUUCCUUUACAAAAAUGUCCAGAGUCCUUUGCUCAGGUCUAGGAAAAGUUGUGUAAAGAACUCUGGAUUUGAAGUCAAAGAUUCAAUCCCAAUUGAGAUUGCUCAGUAUGUGCAAUCUAGUUUUGUUUUUUUUUUUUUUUGUCAUUUGUUUUGCAAGAUGGGGUUUCUCCAUGUAGCUUUGGAGCCUAUCCUGGCACUUGCUCUGUAGACCAGGCUGGCCUUGAACUCACAGAGAUCCACCUGCCUCUGCCUCCGGAGUACUGGGAUUAAAGGCGUGACAAUCUAGUAUUAACAAGAACAAAUAAACAUUUUUGAUGUGGUAGACAACAUGGUUGGGGGCUACGAUUCUUCCUCAAGGCAGAACUGGCUUUGACUCCUUUGCCCCCUGGUUUCCACUGGAGAAAUUGCUCGCCCUCCAGGCUCCCUUCCAAUAUGGAAUAUUCACUUUUCUCAGAACCAGCAGCCCAGCAGUUCAUCAGAAAGGCCCUUCCCCACACUGUGAGGAGUUAACAGAAGGCCUGGGUUUCAGCCUUCUGAUGCCACUGUGACAAAGAGCAGGGUCCAACCUCAUCCCCAUCCUCCUUGGGGUGGGUGGGGAUGGGCAUAGCCAGGCAGUGUGUUCCUCCACCUCCCUCAGGUAGGAAGUGAAGCUGACUAUAUCUAUAUCUAUCUAUCUAUAUAUAUAUGUGGAGGUUGGGUUUCUGCCCUA